AUCAAGGAGGUUAACAGGGAAACUAGCUUUGUAUGUGGAAGGAGCACAGGUACAAUAAAAGCUGAAAAUGUGUAGAAAAUAGACUCCUUCAACUGCAAGGGGUGCAAGCUAGAGGUAGUAGAUAGCUUCCAUUAUCUAGGUGACCAAGUUAGUAGUGGAGGUGGAUGCUCCAAGUGCAUAGCUGUGAGAAUAAGUUUAGGCUGGGCAAAGAUCAGAGAGCUCCUACCACUGCUGGCAACAAAAGGCCUCUCUCUCAUAGUGAAACACAAAUUGUUUGAUGCCUGUGUGCGAACAGCUAUGCUGUAUGGCAGUGAAACAUAGGUUAUGACAGCUGAGGACAUGCGUAGGCUUGAGAGAA